rnacentral:rRNA from 1 species
UACGUAGGGUGCAAGCGUUAAUCGGAAUUACUGGGCGUAAAGCGUGCGCAGGCGGUGAUGUAAGACAGGUGUGAAAUCCCCGGGCUUAACCUGGGAACUGCAUUUGUGACUGCAUCGCUAGAGUACGGCAGAGGGGGAUGGAAUUCCGCGUGUAGCAGUGAAAUGCGUAGAUAUGCGGAGGAACACCGAUGGCGAAGGCAAUCCCCUGGGCCUGUACUGACGCUCAUGCACGAAAGCGUGGGGAGCAAACAGG